GUUCUUCCUGGUGGAUUGAGAUUUGGUAGAAGAAGGAACCAAGCUGAAGCCAUUUUGAGUAAAGCUUCCAUCUUCAAUAGGGGUCAAAUAACGUUUGGGUUCCCAGGACCUCCUUAGGUAGCUGGUUGUUGGUGUUUUGAGUUGUGUUGGAUCUAAAUGGACCCAUAACAUUUGGUGCGUUGGCCCGGAAUCCACUCACUCUACCCAGGUCCCUGAUUCAAGGCCUCCAGAGGUAAGCCUGUUUCUGGUUUUAUUUAGAGCACCACUGGUUGACUCAUUGAAGGAGGCUGGAGGUAGUACCACUUUCAGAGUCUAAGAGGACUGGGCACACCUAUCUCAUCUGCCUCCUGGGCCUCUCCAUAGGGCAUCUGGUAUGGUCUCUGCUGGUGGGACAUCUGGUUCUCCUCCAUCUCCUCCCCCAGUGUAUUGGUUAUCCUUGGCAGGUGGGUUUGUCCAAGUCUGUCAGUUUGUAUCUGUAGGUUGAUUCAUUUCACUGUUGUUGCUUUCUGUUUUAUAUUCAAGGAAAUGGGCCAAACUUCAUCUGCUGUCCACCCCUUGGUUUAGUCUUAACUCAUUCCAUGCUGUCACUACCACAGAGAGACCAGAACAGUGAACCAAUGCUGUUGCAGGAUGCAGUGCUUGGGCUAGUGGGCAGCUUUCUCCAGUAGGGAAGCCAGCAGCUAGUCCCACUACAGAUCUGCUGUACCCAUGAGAAUCGGAUUAAGCAAGUAGCUAGCUACCCCUCCUUUAAAAUUACAGCUGGGAGAGAUCAGGAAAGUUUUGUCUGUCUGUUUUAAAUCUGUAAAUGCUUGCCUAGCAAGCGCAAGGCCCUGGGUUUGGUCCCCAGCUCCGAAAAAUAGAAAAGAAAAAAACAAAACAAAACUGUAAAUGCUGUGGCCACUACAUGUUUGCUUCUGACUGGUCUUAAAUAAGUGAGUUUACUAUGGUCUGUGUGUCUUGGUUAUAGGUUUUUGGUUUAUACAUUAUUGGGUAUGGUUAAAAAUCUGUUGGGGUUGGGGAUUUAGCUCAGUAGCAAGCGCAAGGCCCUGGGUUCGGUGCUCAACUUGGGGGGAGGGGAAUUUGUAACAUCAGUAACAAAAAGUUAGUUUCAGAUUAUAUAAUUCUAGGCUGGAGAGAUGGCUCAGAGGUUAAGAGGCUCAGAGGUUAGAGCAUUGAUGCUCUUCCAGAGGUCCUGAAUUCAAUUCCCAGAAACCACAUGGUAUUUUACAACUCUCUGUAAUGGGAUCUGAUGCCCUCUUCUGGUGUGUCUGAAGACAGUGAAAAAAAAAUAUUCAUUCUUUAAACAAAACAAAACAAAAAGGUUAUAUAAUUCCUGUCCUGUAUUAAAAAACAGGUUUAUAAAAGAUAGGAUUUAAAAAAUAUUUAAAGAGGUAUUAAAGCUGCACUUCUAUGCAUUCAUAUACAAGAACAUACUUUACUGGCUGUCAGACUUUGAAACAUAAGGGUAAUGCACUUGGUACUGAUAUUAGAGACACUAAUUUUUUUACACUGUUAAAACUAGGUUUUGCGGGGUUGGGGAUUUAGCUCAGUGGUAGAGCGCUUGCCUAGCAAGCGCAAGGCCCUGGGUUCGGUCCCCAGCUCCGAAAAAAAGAAAAAAAAAAACCCAAAAAACUAGGUUUUGCUUUCUACAAAUUAUGGUUGUGCUCUUUGGUCUUCUACAUAAUUCUGCAAAUUAUGGUCUUGAAACAAAAAAGGUACUUUAUUUUGAUAUUGCAAGAUAUUGCAAAAACACACAAUUGAGAGAUUUUAAACUUCUUUAAAGAAAGUUUUGGAGUUUUAAAGAAAAUUAAAAACGAUAUUUCAUUUUUUAAAGAUUUAUUUAUUUAUUUUAUGUAUGUGGGUACACUGUAGCUGUCUUCAGACACACCAGAAGAGGGCAUCAGAUCCCAUUAUAGAUGGUUGUGAGUCACCAUGUGGUUGCUGGGAUUUGAACUCAGGACCUCUGGAAGAGCAGUCAGUGCUCUUAACACUGAGCCAUCUCUCCAGCCCUCAAAACUGGAUAUUUUAAAAACAGCUUUUAAAAUGUUUACAUUUAUAAGACUAUGGAACAUUUUAAAGUUUAUCAGAUAUUUUAUUUUUUAAUACUUUUUUUUUUUUUUGGUUCUUUUUUUCGGAGCUGGGGACCGAACCCAGGGCCUUGCGCUUCCUAGGUAAGCGCUCUACCACUGAGCUAAAUCCCCAGCCCCCAGAUAUUUUAUUAUAGUAUCUUUAUGAAUAUGUGAUCUUGCUAAAUAAAUAAAAGACUAAAACACCAGAGCUAAACACCAGAGACUAAAGAAUUUCCGUCUUAUGAUGCAGUAAGGCAUUAACCUUAACCAAUUGGAACAGUUUCUCAACCUACAGGUUACAUUACUUUGAGGGUCAAAAGACCUUUUUACAGAGAUAGCCCAGAGUUGCCUGCAAAUCCAAUGUUUAUUUAUGAUUAGGGUUACCACAGCAUUAAAAAACUAUGUUAAAAGGUUACAACACUUAAAAUUUGAGAAUCAGGCUGGAGAGAUGGCCCAGUGGUUAGGAGCACUGACUGCUCUUCCAAAGAUCUUUAAAAGAACUGAGAAGCACUGGCUUUAAAAUACAUGUUACAGGGUUGGGGAUUUAGCUCAGUGGUAGAGCGCUUGCCUAGCAAGCGCAAGGCCCUGGGUUCAGUCCCCAGCUCCGAAAAAAAAAAGAAAAAGAAAAAGAAAAAAAAAAAGAAAAUACAUGUUAUUCCUUACUUAAGGACUAUUCAGGCUAACAGAGACUGACUUAAAGUUGUAUGCUAACCUUCUUGUUUUAACUAGCCAUGUUAAGCUAUACCAAUGUGGAGAACUGAAUCAUACAAGAAAACUUCUAUGUUCUAUAAUGAUAUACCAUGUAAGGAUCAAGAAAAGUUCCCAGUCUCUUUAUGGACUGACUGUAUUUAUGAGUUAAAAUCUUACCUUGACACUAAAAGAGCUUCAAUUCAGAAAUUGUUAUUUUUAUUAUAAACUGUUAAAGAUGAAUAAGCCGUGAUAUGGUCAGAACUAUAUUUGUAGUCACGAUAAAUAUUACUGUAAUUAAUGACAGGAAGAAGCCUUAUUUAGCCUCCUGUUUUAUGUUCUCCAGGUAUAGCCUAAAGGAAAUAACUAAAAGCAGACAAGGCUUGUUUAAUUCAGAUAUGCUUGAUAGAUACUAACCCUCAAACCUGUCAAGAGAUCUGCUGACUAAUUAAUUAGAAAAGAGAUCUGCUGGUUAUGGAAUUUAAGAUGUUUGAACUUACUAUGACAGAGACUCUCAGAUCCUAGCAGUGACCCCAAGGUCUCCAAGAAGAUAAUGGACACAGUGACAAAGAGCUCCGGGAUUGUGGUAAUGCCAACUACUGAGAAAGACUCCUCCAAGGCUUCACCUGCCGUGAGGGCUGCCCCGAACUAUGGACAAACAGGACACUGGAGAGUUGAUUGCCUCAGUUUAUCUAGGCUAGAUGAAGUCAGUCCCCUCCUACCUACCCUCCUCCUCCACAGGAAUGUCUCUGUUGCUGUCCCAAUACCUCUCUGCCCCCAUCCCCAUCCCCAUAGAAACCACUGAGGCCUGGAAUGACUGUCUAGGUAACGGACUAUGGACUAGUCUCUGUCAUUUUAAUUGAUACAUAGGCCAUUUAGAUUAUCAUUUACCCUUCUCAGGUUUCUGAUCACAUUGACAACUAAGCUAACUGUAGCUUUGUCAGCUAGGGAACAACAGGCAACCAGCUCCCUUCCCCCUAGGCAAUCAACCACCUUGUUAGUUCAUUAGUUAGUUCAUUGGUUAAUUAUAGCUACUGGGUCUCUUUUUUUUUUUUUUUCUUUUCUUUUUUUCGGAGCGGGGGACUGAACCCAGGGCCUUGCGCUUGCUAGGCAAGCGCUCUACCGCUGAGCUAAAUCCCCAACCCCGGGUCUCUUCUUAAGAAAAGGCAGACAGGUUUACCUUGCUCAGAGGCUUCAUAUCAAAGGAUAAACAAGCUUCAAAUAUGUAUUUCUUGUAAAUGAUUAGGCUUAAAAACAAUUCAAAAUCCAUGCAAGGAUGUAAAAACUUAAAUAAGUUCUAAGGGUCUCAAAAAUAAUUUAAAAUAUAUAAACACAAGCUGUAAAAAUGUAUUGUUAUAAUGAGAUUUCAGGUGUUCAGAGGUUUUAUUUUUUUUUUAAGAUUUUAUUCAUUUAUGUAUGUGAGUACACUGUAGCUGUCUUCAGACACACCAGAAGAGGGCAUCGGAUCUCCAUUAUAGAUGGUUGUGAGCCACCAUGUGGUUGCUGGGAAUUGAACUCAGGACCUCUGGAAGAGCAGUCAGUGCUCUUAACACUGAGCCAUCUUUCCAGCCCAAGGUUCAGAGUUUUAACGUUGAUGAAUGAAGUUCUAAUAAACUGGUAUUGUUGAGGUUUGGUCUGUUGCUAUAUAUUGUAAUGCUAAAUACUGGCCCCCAAGGUUGAGGAAAUCCUCACAUACCCAAGUGAUGCUAUGUAACCUUGUUCCUUAAAACUACUGGUUGAAUAAAGAUGCCUUCAGCCUAUAGCUGGGCGGAAGAGAGGUAUGUAGAGUUUUGGUUCCCAGGCUGGAGGUCUGAAAAGAGACCAUGAGAAGGGAGGUUAAGAGAACAAUGCCAUGGGGUAGGUGAAUCAUAAAAACAUGGCCAUGAGGGCUGACUAAUUGGAGUAAGAGCGGCCCAGGCAGAACACAGAAGAUUAUAACUCAGGGUUAUUAACGGCCCAGGCAGAACACAGAAGAUUAUAACUCAGGGUUAUUAACAGGUAACAAGAUAGCCAUAGAGAGUUGGUUUCUGACCAGCUCUAAUGCUGUUAUGCCUUAUUGUAAAUGUAAAGGUUUUGUGCCUUUUGUCUGGGAACUGAAUGGGGUGUGGGGGUGUAGAAAAACCACAAUUAAUAUUCAUUGCAACAUGGUAAAACUGAUAAAAGCACUGAUUGCUAUUCAGUCACAGGCUCAAGAUUUUAAGUUUCCUUUGGUUAUCUUCUAAAUAUAGACAAGGAUAUCUAGAACUAUUAUCUCCUUUGAUAAACUAAAAUUUCUGUGAGCUUCAGGGAGACAAAACAGUCAUAAGGCUUGAAUCCACCUGUCACAGGUUAAAUGGACUCCAGAGGGGGUUGGGGAUUUAGCUCAGUGGUAGAGCGCCUGCCUAGCAAGCGCAAGGCCCUGGGUUCGGUCCUCAGCUCCGGAAAAAAAAAAAAACAAAACAAAACUCCAGAAUGAGUACAGCCUAAAUUUCUGCACCUGUAUAUUCCUGAGUGAGGUUAUCCCCUGGUCUUGAAGUUUCUCUCCUUCUCCAACUACUAGAAAAUUUUAACUUCUGUCCCUAGUCUAUAUUUGUCUCAGCAGAUCUCUGCUUGGCUAACAGACACCAUCAACAGAGCACCUAUGAACUCCAAACUGCUGAGCUCUGAAAGCUGACUUUAAAAAAGAAAGUCCAGCUGUAAUUGUCCCUUCAGCUGGACCAACUAAUCCAUUACUUCUGAAAAAUGCCCCAUUUCCCAGGCUUUGACUAGUUUUUCACCUUCCCUGGGUCCUGCCAACUGACACCUCAAGUUUGAGCUUGAAGUAGCUACAGAGAACAGAAGAGACUGCAUUGUCCCUGCCCACUUAACAGGCUGAAAAUGCUAAGUCAAAAGAAAAUUCCCUUUGGGGGAAAUUUGUUUUUAUGCCAAACAUUCUGGGAUAGUCUGGGAUACCUUAACAAAAAUAAAACAAAACCUGUUUGAUAGGGAGGAACAAAGGAGACAAGCUGAUAAAUGGUUCCAAAAUCAUUUUGAUUGGUCCUAUUGGCUAACCACCCUGCUUACUACAUCAGGACCUCCUUUUCUUCUUGCUACUCAGUUUUGCUCAUGGUCCUAAGGACCCAAAACAAUCCCUUCAACUCUGAAAUAGUAUAAUCAAAGGUUUGAAUAGUGUACAAAGCCAAGGGAGGAAUGGAAGAAAGAACCAGACUGAAGCCAUUUUGAAUAAAACUUCCAUUGUCAAGGCUUCUGUUCCCGAGACCUCCCUGGGUAACUGACAUCCUGCUUGACAGAAAGAGACAUGUACCUGGGAACCGACAUCCUGGUUGUAAGUUGAGAUGGGAAUGCUAAGCAAGUUGGCCACCACAGUUCAAUAACCCAAACGAUGGGAACAGACAGGAUAAGUGUACCCCAAAGAUAUCUAAGGAAAUCCCCUAUCCCUGAAUCCUAAUUGGUAGAAAAAUGCAACUUGGCACAGAUAUUUGUGGUUUUUAAAAGCCCUGCAACAUUCUGGCUGGGAGUGGGAUGGAACAGGGAGUUGCAGUUCAGCUCCCGAGUCUGCAUUCCUGAUCUACCAGUAGCGGAUUGAUUACAUUUUUGUUUUGUUUUGACUUGCUCUUUGAGUUGUGCUGAAUCUGAGCAGACCUCGUAACAUUGGAACUCAGAGGCUGAGCUAUGCUUAGAACGUCCAGCCAUAGUGGAGCCCUCUGGGCCCAGAGGACACACAGGUAGGGCUAGGGCCUGGCUUUGCAGGAGGCUAGAGCCCUUCCCCUGGCACUGAUCCUUACAGUGAGGUAUGGAUGCAUAGGACCUGGGAAAAAGACAGGGAGGGUGAUGCCUGUGUGAGCGGAUAACAGGUCCAACACUGGCUGCUUUGACACGAGGUCACUAGAUCACUCAUCGGCAAGCUGGCUCCCAGCCACACUAGGUCACUAGAUCACUCAUCAGCAAGCUGGCUCCCAGCCACACUAGGUCACUAGAUCACUCAUCGGCAAGCUGGCUCCCAGCCACACUAGGUCACUAGAUCACUCAUCGGCAAGCUGGCUCCCAGCCAUGCUUGCUUCCCGCUCAGCUGACACAGCCAUCCAGUUCAGUCUGGGUUCUCUAGUACUUAGUGCUUAACAUCCAGGGUUCAAAUGCCCUCAAAGCACGCUGGCCCCAAAGAACCUUCCUUUUUUUUUUUUUCCGGAGCUGGGGACUGAACCCAGGGCCUUGCGCUUGCUAGGCAAGCGCUCUACCACUGAGCUAAAUCCCCAACCCCUCCAAAGAACUUUCCUGAGCAUCUCACAAGGAGGUGUCCAUCAAAAUGGGGGAGGUGGAAUCUCAAAUCUAAAAGGUUUCCGGUCCAAAGGGGAUUCCAUUUCUGCAUUGUCGAAAUGUAGCAGCUGGAGCUGGAGAGAUGGCUCAGUGGUUAAGACCACUGGAUGCUCUUCCAGAGGUCCUGGGUUCAAUUCCCAGCAA